rnacentral:rRNA from 1 species
GAUGAACGCUGGCGGCGUGCCUAAUACAUGCAAGUCGAGCGAACAGACGAGGAGCUUGCUCCUCUGACGUUAGCGGCGGACGGGUGAGUAACACGUGGAUAACCUACCUAUAAGACUGGGAUAACUUCGGGAAACCGGAGCUAAUACCGGAUAAUAUAUUGAACCGCAUGGUUCAAUAGUGAAAGACGGUUUUGCUGUCACUUAUAGAUGGAUCCGCGCCGCAUUAGCUAGUUGGUAAGGUAACGGCUUACCAAAGCAACGAUGCGUAGCCGACCUGAGAGGGUGAUCGGCCACACUGGAACUGAGACACGGUCCAGACUCCUACGGGAGGCAGCAGUAGGGAAUCUUCCGCAAUGGGCGAAAGCCUGACGGAGCAACGCCGCGUGAGUGAUGAAGGUCUUCGGAUCGUAAAACUCUGUUAUUAGGGAAGAACAAAUGUGUAAGUAACUAUGCACGUCUUGACGGUACCUAAUCAGAAAGUCACGGCUAACUACGUG